rnacentral:snRNA from 1 species
AUCUUUACCUGGCAAGGGAGGUACCAUGAUCACGAAGGUGGUUUCCCCAGGGCGAGGCUUAUCCAUUGCACUCCAGAUGUGAUGACCCCAAAUGUGGGAAACGCGACUGCAUAAUUUGUGGUAGUGGGGACUGUGUUCGCGCUCUCCCCU